UUUACCAGGACGAACCGAUAAUGA
rnacentral:snRNA from 1 species